rnacentral:rRNA from 1 species
AUGAACGCUGGCGGCGUGCCUAACCCCUGCAAGUCGCGCGGCAGCGAGGGGUGCUUGCACCCUGUCGGCGAGCGGCGGACGGCUGAGUAACGCGUGGGAACGUGCCCCAAAGUGAGGAAUAACUGCCCGAAAGGGUAGCUAAUACCGCAUAUUAUCUUCGGAUCAAAGGAUUUAUCCGCUUUGGGAGCGGCUCGCGUCGGAUUAGGUAGUUGGUGAGGUAAUGGCUCACCAAGCCGACGAUCCGUAGCUGGUCUGAGAGGAUGACCAGCCAGACUGGAACUGAGACACGGUCCAGACUCCUACGGGAGGCAGCAGUGAGGAAUCUUCCACAAUGGGCGAAAGCCUGAUGGAGCAACGCCGCGUGCAGGACGAAGGCCUUCGGGUUGUAAACUGCUUUUAUAAGUGAGGAAUAUGACGGUAACUUAUGAAUAAGGAUCGGCUAACUACGUG